rnacentral:lncRNA from 1 species
AUGGCAUAGGAAACAUUUUGGAGCAUAUCAAUACAAAAUACGAAACAGAAGCUCAGACGUCGUACCCUAGCAUAGUGCAUGUGAGGUUUAACUCAGUGGUGGCUCCACGCCGUGAUGAGUUCUCGACUCCAUCCACGGGUAGCCCUUUCCUACUCGAGCCCUCUCACCCUGCCCAAGUGCUAGGUCGGAUCUGAAUUUCAUAUCAAACAGAUAAAAGGUGAAGUGGGAUUCCAAACAUAAUAUGGUCUAUCCAUUUCUGAAUGACCACCAAACAUAAUCUAGAGCAUCGCGGGCUCUAAGCACAUACCCUUUACCAUUUCUGGCAAAGGUCCAAAUAAUCCCACAAACACCAGAGUACAUAAGGGUAUUGUGAACAAUAAAUUGGGACAUAUCGGAAGCACAUGCGGAACAACGAAAUUUACAUGUGUCUUUAUAAAACAUUACGAUACAAACAUAAAGUUUACAUAACAGAUUUAGGUAUCCAAAUACAUGUAGGACAAGAGCAUACAAGAAUUCAAAGUAGUAAUAUAAAGCUCAAUGGAAUAAGAAAGGCAAAGGAUAUCAAUUUCCAACGGAAUGAAACCAGAAUAUACGAAAUCGACUAAAGCUCGAUUUCUGGCAAAAUUCAAGAGGUACAUUGAACAAAUGAUUCAAACUAUCAAUCGUGCUCCAAUUUACUCAGAAACAUAUUGUGGAAAGAUAUUUCAAUCUAUUUUCAGAUAAAACAAGUUUCGUAUGAAUCGAAGUUUCCAAUAAAGAGUUACAAUUGAUUUAGUAACCAAAGGUCUGAAAACAAAAUCAUUGUUUUGCAUAAUCAAAAGGGUCGGAUUCAAUAGAUAGCUGAGCAGACAUUUGGACUCUAAAUCUUUUAAUCUAGGUAUCAAAAGAAAGAUCUAUGAUUCUAGUUUCCAAUGUAAUAAGAUUUGAAUAAAUCAAAGUUUUCAAUAGGCCUUAUAGGCAGUUCAGUAUCAAAAGGUCAGAAUCUCAGACGUUGCACAUAUUGGAAUCCUUUCGUCUAAAUAGGAGAUAUAUAAAAUGCAAGGCUAGAACAAUUCAAAUUUCCAUAUAUUCAAAGCAAAUGUAGAGAUCAAAUUGCAGUAAGGAAAGAUCAGGACACUUGCAAUAGAAAAGAUUAGAAAGCUGACAAUAGGAAGGAUUCAGAACACUUGCAAAAAAAGAAAAUGCAAUAGGAAAGAUAAGAAUACUUGCACGAGGAAGAUCAUAAUAUUUGCAAUAAGAAAAAUUAGAACAAUUAUAGGAGAAAUGAUCGGGAAACUUGCAAUAGAAAGGAUCGAAAUAUUUGCAAUAGAAAGGAUUAAAACACUUGCACUAGGAAGAUCAUAAUACUUGCAAUAAGAAAAAUUAGAACAAUUAUAGGAGAAACGAUCGGGAAACUUGCCUUUUGAAGGUUUUGAUCCAAAGAUUCGAAGAAGGUGUACGCUCGAAUCCUUUUUCUAAUUUUCCUCCGUCCCCUCCCAGUUUCGUUUUAUGCACUCGUUUUCUUUCUUUCUUCGCAACUACACACGUGUCGAACAUCGAGGCACAGUCACCUGCUCUCUCUUACUCUCAUUCCUCUGUUUUCUUUUUCAAACACAACUGUCGCAGCCAUCGCCGUUGCCACUACCAUAGUCGUAGCCACGACCGCAGCCGCUGUCACAACCGCAGCCCCUUCCCCUGUACUACUUCCUUCCUCCCUUCUCUCGUUCCUACUUUUUUUUUCCCAAACACAGCUGCCGUAGACACAUCUUUUUUUAUGUAAUUUUUUAUAUAGGUUCUAAAUAUCUGAAAUAUUUAUAUAACAACGGAGUGAGCUAAAAACAGCUCAGCAAGUGACAAAGCAUAUUCAGAACAAAAGGAAUGAUUUCAAACAAGUAAGAUAUCAUAAUACAAGGCAGAAUAUAAGAAUUUUUAAGAUACCAUAUCAUUAGAUACAAAAUCAUAAGUGUCAUGUCAUUCAAAACAUAUUUGGUUCAUAACAGAUGGAGCAUAGAGUAAUUGGAGCAUAUCAAUAGCGUACGAGAUGUUCCGAAGCAUAUCAAUAGUAAAUAGUAUAUUUCAGAACAUAUCAGUUUAUAGCAAAUGGAGCACAGAGUAAUUGGAGCAAAUCAAUAGCGUACGAGAUGUUCCAGUGGUAUGCGAAGCAUUUUGAUGUAUAUCAAUGGUAUAGGAAACAUUUUGGAGCAUAUCAAUACAAAAUACGAAACAGAAGCUCAAACGUCGUACCCUAGCAUAGUGCAUGUGAGGUUUAACUCAGUGAUGGCUCCAUGCCAUGAUGAGUUCUCGACUCCAUCCACGGGUAGCCCUUUCCUACUCGAGCCCUCUCACCCUACCCAAGUGCUAGGUCGGCUCUGAAUUUCAUAUCAAACAGAUAGAAGGUGAAGUGGGAUUCCAAACAUAAUAUGGUCUAUCCAUUUCUGAAUGACCACCAAACAUAAUCUAGAGCAUCGCGGGCUCUAAGCACAUACCCUUUACCAUUUCUAGCAAAGGUCCAAAUAAUCCCACAAACACCAGAGUACAAAAGGGUAUUAUGAACAAUAAAUUGGGACAUAUCGGAAGCACAUGCGGAACAACGAAAUUUACAUGUACUUUUAUGAAACAUUACGAUACAAACAUGAAGUUUACAUAACAGAUUUAGGUAUCCAAAUACAUGUAGGACAAGAGCAUACAAGAAU